GACGAACGCUGGCGGCAUGCCUAACACAUGCAAGUCGAGCGAGUAGAUCCCUUCGGGGUGAAGCUAGCGGCGGACGGGUGAGUAACACGUGGGCAACCUGCCUCAUAGAGGGGAAUAGCCUUCCGAAAGGAAGAUUAAUACCGCAUAAGAUUGUAGUACCGCAUGGUAUAGCAAUUAAAGGAGUAAUCCGCUAUGAGAUGGGCCCGCGGCGCAUUAGCUAGUUGGUGAGGUAACGGCUCACCAAGGCGACGAUGCGUAGCCGACCUGAGAGGGUGAUCGGCCACAUUGGGACUGAGACACGGCCCAGACUCCUACGGGAGGCAGCAGUGGGGAAUAUUGCACAAUGGGGGAAACCCUGAUGCAGCAAUGCCGCGUGAGUGAUGACGGCCUUCGGGUUGUAAAGCUCUGUCUUCGGGGACGAUAAUGACGGUACCCGAGGAGGAAGCCACGGCUAACUACGUGCCAGCCGCCGCGGUAAGAC
rnacentral:rRNA from 1 species